UACGAAGGGGGCUAGCGUUGUUCGGAAUCACUGGGCGUAAAGCGCACGCAGGCGGAUUGAUAAGUCAGGGGUGAAAUCCCGGGGCUCAACCUCGGAAUUGCCUUUGAUACUGUCUGUCUUGAGUUCGGGAGAGGUUGGCGGAAUUCCUAGUGUAGAGGUGAAAUUCGUAGAUAUCAGGAGGAACACCGGUGGCGAAGGCGGGUCAGC
rnacentral:rRNA from 1 species